AGAAACUUAGGAUAAUAUAGACCAAAAACCUUCAAAGUUUUAAGUACGAGUUAAAAUCUCUUAGUUUCUG
rnacentral:tRNA from 1 species